ACUGAAUGUCCUAGGGGGUAUUGCACCUACCGAAGACUAUCAAACUCCGAAUGCCGUCAUCUUAUACUUGGGAGUCAGACUGUGGGUGAUAAGAUUCAUAGUUGAAAGGGCAACAGCCCAGAUCGUCAGCUAAGGUCCCUAAAUGUAAGUUAAGUGGUAAAGGAUGUGGGAUUGCACAGACAACCAGGAUGUUGGCUUAGAAGCA
rnacentral:rRNA from 1 species